rfam:Tncultured methanogenic archaeon RC-I complete genome
AGUCCCAUGGGGUAGAGGUCAAUCCUGCUGGACUUUGGAUCCGGCGACACCGGUUCGAAUCCGGUUGGGACUA